rnacentral:rRNA from 1 species
GAAUGCUGACAUAAGUAACGAUAAAGCGGGUGAAAAGCCCGCUCGCCGGAAGACCAAGGGUUCCUGUCCAACGUUAAUCGGGGCAGGGUGAGUCGACCCCUAAGGCGAGGCCGAAAGGCGUAGUCGAUGGGAAACAGGUUAAUAUUCCUGUACUUGGUGUUACUGCGAAGGGGGGACGGAGAAGGCUAUGUUGGCCGGGCGACGGUUGUCCCGGUUUAAGCGUGUAGGCUGGUUUUCCAGGCAAAUCCGGAAAAUCAAGGCUGAGGCGUGAUGACGAGGCACUACGGUGCUGAAGCGACAAAUGCCCUGCUUCCAGGAAAAGCCUCUAAGCAUCAGGUAACAUCAAAUCGUACCCCAAACCGACACAGGUGGUCAGGUAGAGAAUACCAAGGCGCUUGAGAGAACUCGGGUGAAGGAACUAGGCAAAAUGGUGCCGUAACUUCGGGAGAAGGCACGCUGAUAUGUAGGUGAAGCGACUUGCUCGUGGAGCUGAAAUCAGUCGAAGAUACCAGCUGGCUGCAACUGUUUAUUAAAAACACAGCACUGUGCAAACACGAAAGUGGACGUAUACGGUGUGACGCCUGCCCGGUGCCGGAAGGUUAAUUGAUGGGGUUAGCGGUAACGCGAAGCUCUUGAUCGAAGCCCCGGUAAACGGCGGCCGUAACUAUAACGGUCCUAAGGUAGCGAAAUUCCUUGUCGGGUAAGUUCCGACCUGCACGAAUGGCGUAAUGAUGGCCAGGCUGUCUCCACCCGAGACUCAGUGAAAUUGAACUCGCUGUGAAGAUGCAGUGUACCCGCGGCAAGACGGAAAGACCCCGUGAACCUUUACUAUAGCUUGACACUGAACAUUGAGCCUUGAUGUGUAGGAUAGGUGGGAGGCUUUGAAGUGUGGACGCCAGUCUGCAUGGAGCCGACCUUGAAAUACCACCCUUUAAUGUUUGAUGUUCUAACGUGGGCCCCUUACCGGGGUUGCGGACAGUGUCUGGUGGGUAGUUUGACUGGGGCGGUCUCCUCCUAAAGAGUAACGGAGGAGCACGAAGGUUGGCUAAUCCUGGUCGGACAUCAGGAGGUUAGUGCAAUGGCAUAAGCCAGCUUGACUGCGAGCGUGACGGCGCGAGCAGGUGCGAAAGCAGGUCAUAGUGAUCCGGUGGUUCUGAAUGGAAGGGCCAUCGCUCAACGGAUAAAAGGUACUCCGGGGAUAACAGGCUGAUACCGCCCAAGAGUUCAUAUCGACGGCGGUGUUUGGCACCUCGAUGUCGGCUCAUCACAUCCUGGGGCUGAAGUAGGUCCCAAGGGUAUGGCUGUUCGCCAUUUAAAGUGGUACGCGAGCUGGGUUUAGAACGUCGUGAGACAGUUCGGUCUCUAUCUGCCGUGGGCGCUGGAGAACUGAGGGGGGCUGCUCCUAGUACGAGAGGACCGGAGUGGACGCAUCACUGGUGUUCGGGUUGUCAUGCCAAUGGCACUGCCCGGUAGCUAAAUGCGGAAGAGAUAAGUGCUGAAAGCAUCUAAGCACGAAACUUGCCCCGAGAUGAGUUCUCCCUGACUCCUUGAGAGUCCUGAAGGAACGUUGAAGACGACGACGUUGAUAGGCCGGGUGUGUAAGCGCAGCGAUGCGUUGAGCUAACCGGUACUAAUGAACCGUGAGGCUUAACCUUACAACGCCGAAG